AGCGGAGGAAAAGAAACUAACAAGGAUUCCCCUAGUAGCGGCGAGCGAAGCGGGAAGAGCUCAAAUUUAUAAUCUGGCACCUUCGGUGUCCGAGUUGUAAUCUCUAGAAAUGUUUUCCGCGUUGGACCGCACACAAGUCUGUUGGAAUACAGCGGCAUAGUGGUGAGACCCCCGUAUAUGGUGCGGACGCCCAGCGCUUUGUGAUACAUUUUCGAAGAGUCGAGUUGUUUGGGAAUGCAGCUCAAAUUGGGUGGUAAAUUCCAUCUAAAGCUAAAUAUUGGCGAGAGACCGAUAGCGAACAAGUACCGUGAGGGAAAGAUGAAAAGCACUUUGGAAAGAGAGUUAACAGUACGUGAAAUUGUUGGAAGGGAAACGCUUGAAGUCAGACUUGCUUGCCGAGCAAUCGGUUUGCAGGCCAGCAUCAGUUUUCCGGGAUGGAUAAUGGUAGAGAGAAGGUAGCAGUUUCGGCUGUGUUAUAGCUCUCUGCUGGAUACAUCUUGGGGGACUGAGGAACGCAGUGUGCCUUUGGCGGGGGUUUCGACCUCUUCACACUUAGGAUGCUGGUGGAAUGGCUUUAAACGACCCGUCUUG
rnacentral:rRNA from 1 species